GAAAAUCCUAUUUUUAAGAACAGGCAGGCAUACUGAAGUCCAUUUGAUCUGUGCUGGGUCAGAUCAUCAGCUUGUCUGCUCUUCUGAAGACCUCAGUCUGAAGCUCUCCCAGGAGAGCUGCUGUACCCAGGGCAACAGGUAAGGGAGCCUCCCAAAGAACUGCAGCAGCUGGGAACCCUGAGGAGCCCAGCAGAUUCCAGACCCAUCCCCUCUGCUCUUACUCCACUCCCCUUCUGGUCUGCUCCUUCAAAAGGGGCAGAUCAUCAGCUUCUAGGCCCUUCUGAAGACUCCAUAGCCUGAAGGCCUUCCAGGAGAUCUGCUGCACCAGGGGAACAAGUCAUCAGCUUGUCUGCCCCUCUGAAGAUCCCACAGUCUGAAGGCCUCCCAGAAGGUCUGCUAUAGCCAGGGCCACAGAUCUCCUAGGAAACCUGCAGCAACCCAGGGACACAGGAGUCAGGAUCCAGACAGAGACACCCGGGCCAGUUAACACCAGAGAUAACCAGAUGGCAAGAAGCAAGCACAAAAACAUAAGCAACAGAAACCAAUACUAUUUGGUAACAUCAGAACCCAGUUCUUCCACCACAGCAAGCCCUGGAUACCCCCAACACACUUGAAAACCAGGAUGCUGACUUAAAAUCCUGUCUCAUGAGGAUAAUAGAGUCCUUAGAGGAGGAUAUAAAUAACUCAUUGUAAGAAAUACAGGAAAACACAGGUAGAAGCUCUUUUUUUUUCUUGAAAAACAGGGUUUAUUGAUUUUUAAACUGCAAAUAGUCGUUACAAAAAGUUUUUUUUUCUUUUAAAUAAAUUCACACAAAGAAAGAGAAAUAGAAAGCGACAGUAGUGACCAGCAAGAGGAAUAAUAAUUACAUUCAUCUUUAUGUGUGUGUGCCAGUUGUUUAUGUCAACAUUGGAAAACUCCAACCUAGAAUCCAGAACCACAAAUCUGCGAGGGGAAUGUCUUGAGAUGGGCACAUGGAAUUCAAAGGGUUUUUCCCUCUCUCUCUCUCUCUUUUUUUCCCUCUUAGAAGCUAUACAUAAAUGGUGGUUUUCCUUCUGUACUGUCACAGAACUUAUACAUACAUUCUCAGUCCUACCUGUGAAAGGCCUAAGGAGAAAGAAACUCAAUUUGCAGUCCAACACAAAGGGGAGAAUUUCUAAAAUAAAUCAUCCAACAGUUUUUUGCACUUGUUUAAAUUAAUUUUUCAUGUUUUUAAAAUAAAAUAACCAAAAAAGUGUAAAGUUACAAAAAUGUUGUUGAAGAAUAAAAAUUAAAACUGUGGAAAAAAGAGGAAAGACACAUCACAAAAUUUUAAGAUUAAUAUGAAGAUCAUAAUUUAACAUAAAAGAAUAUAUUCUAUGGAUUUGUCAUCCCGAUAAAUAUGAACAAAAUUAACAAAAAAGCAUAGUUUGGCAAUAAAUACGUUUUGAUAAGUUAAAUAAGCUUUUUUAUAUUGAUGUGCAGUGAUAAGCAACAUUUUUGCUCUCCAAUUUCUGAAAGUUAGAUGAAGUUUAAACCUAGGGAAAAAAGCAUUGUGUGGGGGCUCUAAGGUAGACCUAAGGUAUUCUAGAGCAAAAUCCAUUAAAGCUACUUCUACAGGAAAUCGUUUUACACAGCUAUUGUAUGUGGAAUGCAGACCAUUGACUGCUCACCCCUUACAUGGUUUUUUUGUUGUUGUUUUGUUUUUAGCUUUUCUCUCAUUUGUUGUCAUUUUUAAGAUGUCACAUAUGAAUUGGGGAACUUUAGCACCAGAAUCAAGUCUCUCAUAGUCCAUCUAGUUUCCCCUUCCUCCCCACUUAAAAAAAAAAAAAGAAAAGAAAAGAAAGAAAGAAAUUAAAUCACAAAAUCCCACUUAUGUCAAAACCUUCGUCCAACUUGUUCAACCUUUGUCCCUGGAGACCUACACAAACCCAGGCAAGAUUAGUCAACAGGGGUUCGGGCUGGGAAGAAAAAGGUUUUGAAAGUCAAAAUAGACCCCCCCCCCAAAAAAAACCCCAAGUCCAGCAACAGCUCUCUGAGGGAGGUGAGUAACUAUAAGGAAGAGGAAGAGUGCGCGGGAGACUGAAAGAAAGGUGCACUUGUGUGGCCAGCUGGGGGAGCUGCUGGUUGCGGGUCACCCCACCCCCACCCCCACCCCCACCGGCAGGGGCUCUGAGAGGCCCACGGGUGCCCCCUGGCGUUGAAGAGGUAAUGUAGUCACAGUGACAAGUUGCUUCUGUAAAUGGUUACUGCUUUUUUUCUUCUGUGAUUUGGCGCUUAAGGCUUGGGGGGGGGGCGGGGGGGGGAAGGGAGGCAUCUACUGACAAAAGACGGAACUCUGUUAUGCGUGGUUAAGUGGGCUAUGAAACGGAGGGAGAGGGUUUCAAGCCAGAAGGUACCGACAAAUUGACUUGUCCUUAUGUGGGGGGAGGGUAACAUACCAAGGUUCUGGGAAAGGGGCUGAGCUUAAAUGUAUCAAUGUGGGGUUUGAGGGAAAGUUAGGGGGUGGGGAGGUGAAGGA
rnacentral:lncRNA from 1 species